GAUGAACGCUGGCGGCGUGCCUAAUACAUGCAAGUCGAGCGAACAGACGAGGAGCUUGCUCCUCUGACGUUAGCGGCGGACGGGUGAGUAACACGUGGAUAACCUACCUAUAAUACUGGGAUAACUUCGGGAAACCGGAGCUAAUACCGGAUAAUAUAUUGAACCGCAUGGUUCAAUAGUGAAAGACGGUUUUGCUGUCACUUCUAGAUGGAUCCGCGCCGCAUUAGCUAGUUGGUAAGGUAACGGCCUACCAAGGCAACGAGGCGUGGCCGACGGCAGAGGCUGGUCGGCCGCAUUGGAGCUUGGACACGGUCCAUGCUCCUACGGGAGGCAGCAGUAGGCAACGUUCCGCAGUGGUCGAAAGCCUGGCGGAGCGGCGCCACGUGAGUUAUGACGGUCUUCGGAUCGUAAUACUCUCUUAUUAGUUAAGAACAACUGUGUAAGGAACUGUGCACGUCUUGACGGUACCUAAUCAGAAAGCCCCGGCUAACUACGUG
rnacentral:rRNA from 1 species